GAUGAACGCUGGCGGCGUGCCUAAUACAUGCAAGUCGAGCGAACAGACGAGGAGCUUGCUCCUUCGACGUUAGCGGCGGACGGGUGAGUAACACGUAGGUAACCUACCUAUAAGACUGGGAUAACUUCGGGAAACCGGAGCUAAUACCGGAUAAUAUUUCGAACCGCAUGGUUCGAUAGUGAAAGAUGGCUUUGCUAUCACUUAUAGAUGGACCUGCGCCGUAUUAGCUAGUUGGUAAGGUAACGGCUUACCAAGGCAACGAUACGUAGCCGACCUGAGAGGGUGAUCGGCCACACUGGAACUGAGACACGGUCCAGACUCCUACGGGAGGCAGCAGUAGGGAAUCUUCCGCAAUGGGCGAAAGCCUGACGGAGCAACGCCGCGUGAGUGAUGAAGGUCUUCGGAUCGUAAAACUCCGUUAUUAGGGAAGAACAAACGUGUAAGUAACUGUGCACGUCUUGACGGUACCUAAUCAGAAAGCCACGGCUAACUACGUG
rnacentral:rRNA from 1 species